GAAAUUAAAGAAAUUAAAUAGAAAAUAAAGGAUUUUAAAAGCACAAAAGAAAAUAGGUAAUAUUUAAAAAAAUUCUUAUAGACAAUUACUUUCUUCUGAAUCUUAAGCAUUUGAGAUUAAAUACUGGAUUCAGACUAAGGAGUCACUGAACUUUAAUUUGAGGAUGUUAUGAAGAUACAGUAAAUGAGUUAAUCACAUAUGAAAGUACUCUGGAUUCUUUUCAGUGACCAGAUUAGCAUAAAAGCAAAGUGUUAUUUCAUGUUGCAUUUAUAGGUUGCAUAUAUGAUACAUACUUUAAUGACCACUGUCUGAAAACACGCGUAAGAUUAGAAGGUUUGACGAAACUGAGAAGUCAAAGAUUUCAUCUAUUAUUACUCAUCUUCUAUGUCUCUUUAUGCCUGAGUAUAUCUAUCCACUGGGAAGUUGUGGAGAUGCUUGAGAUAGUAUUUACUACACUUGAGGUCAUUGACUGGACACUUUCAUAUAGAAAGCACAGUGCUGUGCAAUCAUUACCUCCCUUCGUUACAGAAAGGCUUGGAUCAACAGGUGGACUUCGUACCUUUCUCGUUAGACAUUUCAGUUUGAGCUAACAGCUGGAAAGUCAGCUCUGCAUAAAGUUAGCAUGUCCUCCAGCAAUAUCAUUAUGCUUUACAUUUUAAAUUAGAGAAUAAAAAAGUCUGUUUUAAUUUGCAAUUCAAGUCCCAUCCCUUUUAGGAGGGCAAGUUGGAGUAAGGUGACAGAAUCAUGCACAGUGCCCUAACAAACUGCAUGGAGGAAGACGUGUGUGCACGCCCUAACUGGAACAGAACUGGGGAAGCAACCGGAGAGGAAGCCAGAGAAGAAAGUGAGAGUGGCCUGGGAGCCUAGCAGGCUGUCCGGAUGUGUCCUACAGGGAGUCACUUUCCUGGUGUGGACACCAGUCUGUGAAGUCUGGUCUUAUUUUGAGACAGUGACCAUCAAACAGAGGAGGACGAGGCUGGGAGUGGGAUGGAUGACCUGCUCUAUCGAGGAGCCUCAGUCCGGCGAAGCUGUUUAAAGCUACGUAAGUUGCUCUAUCCUCCCCUCUGUCCUCCCUCUUACUCAACCCCUUGUCAUUCUGAUAGCCCCUUGCAAGAUGACAUGAUCCCUGAUUGAAAAUUAUAGCUAUUAUUUCUUUAGGAAGGGUAUAAUUUGCUCAACUAUAUAGAAAAAAGGCAGAGAAUUGUUGCCUUAGGCUAAAAUUUUCCAAAUUUUUCUCAACAUAAGAAUUGUCUCAGGCACUUACUUAAAAAGGUAUCUGGAUGAGGGCCAGCCCCACGGCAUAGUGAUUAAGUUCACAUACUCCACUUCAGUGGCCUGGGUUCACAGGUUCAGGUCCUGGGCACAGACCUACACCACUCGUCAGCCAUGCUGCAGUGGCGACCCACAUACAAAAUAAAGGAAGAUUGGCACAGAUGUUAGUGCAGGGCAAAUCUUCCCUGGCAAAAAAUAAAUAAAUAAAAUAAAAUAAAAUGGCCUCUUGAAUCCCUCUCCAGAAGAUUCAUUAAGCUGUGGGUGGGCCCCACGUGAUGAUGCUGGUGAAACUGGCAAAUUUGGGCAAUCCUGCUCCAGGCUAAUCUAUCUGGAAUCAAAUCAUUGUCAUCACGCAGGCCUCCUUUUGCUACUGCUGAAUUUUCCAAGGCAGCUGUUCCCUCUCCCCUCCAGUAGAUUUUCAGAACUUUAUCCAUCAUUUCUCAUUCUCAUUUCUUAUGUGGCCCCAACACUUACUCCUUUAUGCUGGAGGUGAGGGUCAUGCUGUAAAAAUAAAGCAAUCCUGCUGUUAGCAUAUACACAGUCAAGCAUAUACACAGAACUCCAGAGGUUAGACCAGCCCUUACUUCUGGUUCAAGACUAUAUUUCAACCAACCAGAUUCCCCCCAGUGAUGGAUAGUUGGUACUCUCCAGCCCGAUCAACUUUCCAAUCCUGCUCCAUCCACAGCUGUAUAUUAUCCUAACAGACCCCAUGGCUUCUUCUCUUGCUCAGCAGAGCAUGGCUGUCCACCUCCACCCCUUCUGGAACUCUCUUCCCCUAGAACAGAUGCUUAGUACGUUUUAACUAACUUUUUCCUGAUUAUUCCCCAAAUAUUUGUCAUAAUUUGUCAUUCAUAUCAAGUAUAUCUUAGUGCAGCUGAUUAGGGGUAGAUUAGCGUUUUUUGGAUCCUGAGGGAGGAAAAGGGGAGGGCAGAGAUCCUCAUAGCAGUUUGGCCUCUGAACAGAACAGCUAAUAUAAAAUAAGACAAUUUGCACUAAGAUUAACCUCCUCUUGACAUAUCUCCUGAACUUUAUCAUGCUAAGUAAGUAUGUCUCCAUUCCAGCCUUGAGUUACAAUACACUAGACCACCUUCCAAUACCCGGGCCUUGGGAAGGCUCAGGCUGUCAGCUCUGGGAAAGGUAGGGGGUGGGUUUAGGGAGAAAACCUACCCCACUCCCCCGGUCACAUGCCUGUUCCUUCUCCAUAGGCUUACUUCCAUAACACUCUGUGAUUCCCUUCCCCUCGUCUCCCUGACUCUACCCAUCACCCCCUAACCCUUCUCACGUACCCGCUCUCUACUUCACCAUCAGAAACUCUUAUAUGCUCAAUUGUUUCUCAGAAUAGUCUCUAUAUUUUUUGGCCUUAACUGCACUCUGGGGACACACUUUCCCUGCAGUCUGUCAAGGAUGUCUGAUUAUCUUCUCAUACUCUGUGCACCUUGGAGGUGAAAGGUAAAUCCGUGUCCCUCUGAUUUCUAGAGAUACUUCUGGACAGAGAUUGUGCCAGGCUUUUGUGAAAUGCCCUGCUCCUUUGAGGCCUUCAUGUCUUC
rnacentral:lncRNA from 1 species